GUACACUCCUGCGGGAGGCAGCAGUGGGGAAUUUUGGACAAUGGGCGAAAGCCUGAUCCAGCAAUGCCGCGUGAGUGAAGAAGGCCUUCGGGUUGUAAAGCUCUUUUGUCAGGGAAGAAACGGUGAAAGCUAAUAUCUUUUGCUAAUGACGGUACCUGAAGCAUAAGCACCGGCUAACUACGUGCCAGCAGCCGCGGUAAUACGUAGGGGGCAAGCGUUAAUCGGAAUUACUGGGCGUAAAGCGUGCGCAGGCGGUUUUGUAAGUCUGAUGUGAAAUCCCCGGGCUCAACCUGGGAAUUGCAUUGGAGACUGCAAGGCUAGAAUCUGGCAGAGGGGGGUAGAAUUCCACGUGUAGCAGUGAAAUGCGUAGAUAUGUGGAGGAACACCGAUGGCGAAGGCAGCCCCCUGGGUCAAGAUUGACGCUCAUGCACGAAAGCGUGGGGAGCAAACAGGAUUAGAUACCCGAGUAGUCCC
rnacentral:rRNA from 1 species